rnacentral:rRNA from 1 species
GUGUCAGCAGCCGCGGUAAGACGAACCGUGCGAACGUUGUUCGGAAUCACUGGGCUUAAAGGGCGCGUAGGCGGGCUGUCAAGUCUGGGGUGAAAUCCCGCGGCUCAACCGUGGAACUGCCUCAGAUACUGACGGCCUCGAGGGAGGUAGGGGCGUGCGGAACUGUGAGUGGAGCGGUGAAAUGCGUUGAUAUUCACAGGAACUCCGGUGGCGAAGGCGGCGCGCUGGACCUCUUCUGACGCUGAGGCGCGAAAGCUAGGGGAGCAAACGGGAUUAGAUACCCCGGUAGUCC